AUUGAACGCUGGCGGCAGGCCUAACACAUGCAAGUCGAGCGGAUGAAGGGAGCUUGCUCCUGGAUUCAGCGGCGGACGGGUGAGUAAUGCCUAGGAAUCUGCCUGGUAGUGGGGGAUAACGUCCGGAAACGGGCGCUAAUACCGCAUACGUCCUGAGGGGGAAAGUGGGGGAUCUUCGGACCUCACGCUAUCAGAUGAGCCUAGGACGGAUUAGCUAGUUGGUGGGGUAAAGGCCUACCAAGGCGACGAUCCGUAACUGGUCUGAGAGGAUGAUCAGUCACACUGGAACUGAGACACGGUCCAGACUCCUACGGGAGGCAGCAGUGGGGAAUAUUGGACAAUGGGCGAAAGCCUGAUCCAGCCAUGCCGCGUGUGUGAAGAAGGUCUUCGGAUUGUAAAGCACUUUAAGUUGGGAGGAAGGGCAGUAAGUUAAUACCUUGCUGUUUUGACGUUACCAACAGAAUAAGCACCGGCUAACUUCGUG
rnacentral:rRNA from 1 species